rfam:Stegodyphus mimosarum contig17019, whole genome shotgun sequence.
ACCUUCGUGGUGUAGUGGUCAGCACGCUCGAUGCGUAACCGAGAGUUCCGUGGUUCGAUUCCCGGCGAAGGUG